rnacentral:lncRNA from 1 species
UCUGAUUACCACUUGAUGGAAGCUUGCUUGUGGAGCUUCUAUGGAGGCUGAAUCUUUGAGCUUCAAUGAGGUCCUUUAAUGGUGAUUUUUCACCAUGGAGAUGCAGCGGAAGACAAAGGAGAAGAGGUAAGAAGCGGCGCCAUCCACUAGGGAAUAAGCCUUGGAAGAAGGAGCUUCACCACCAAGAUGAGCCUUGGAUAAGAAGCUUGGAGAGGAUGCUUCAAUGGAGGAAAAGAAAGAGAGAGGGGGGAGCACGAAAUUGAAGGAAGAAAAAGGGAGAGAAGUUGAACUUUGAG